UACGUAGGCAGCAAGCGUUGUUCGGAGUUACUGGGCGUAAAGGGUGUGUAGGCGGUCUUCUAAGUUUGGUGUGAAAUCUCCCGGCUUAACUGGGAGGGUGCGCCGGAAACUGGGCCGCUGGAGUACGGGAGAGGCAAGCGGAAUUCCAGGUGUAGCGGUGAAAUGCGUAGAUAUCUGGAGGAACACCCGUGGUGCAGACGGCUUGCUGGACCGUGACUGACGCUGAGGCACGAAAGCGUGGGUAGCAAACAGG
rnacentral:rRNA from 1 species